rnacentral:rRNA from 1 species
UGUUAAUAAUUUAUAUAAAAUAUUUUGAUGAAUAUUUAUAUAAUAUUAACAUAAUUCAUAUUACUAUAUAUUUUAGUAUAUGAAAUUUUACUUUGAGAAAAUUAGAGUGCUUAAAGCAGGCAUAUGCCUUGAAUACUCCAGCAUGGAAUAAUAUUAAAGAUUUUUAUCUUUCUUAUUGGUUCUAAGAUAAGAAUAAUGAUUAAUAGGGACAGUUGGGGGCAUUUGUAUUUAGCAGUCAGAGGUGAAAUUCUUAGAUUUGUUAAAGACAAACUAAUGCGAAAGCAUUUGCCAAGGAUGUUUUCAUUAAUCAAGAACGAAAGUUAGGGGAUCGAAGACGAUCAGAUACCGUCGUAGUCUUAACCAUAAACUAUGCCAACUAGAGAUUGGAGGUUGUU